UAGGGCUUAAGAAGUUAUUUGCCUCCAAU
rnacentral:piRNA from 1 species